rnacentral:rRNA from 1 species
AGCUCCAAUAGCGUAUAUUAAAGUUGUUGCGGUUAAAAAGCUCGUAGUUGGAUUUCUGUGGAAGAUGGGCGGUCCGCACUUUGUGCGUGUAUCUGUUACAGCUUCCGCAUCCUCAUGAAGAACUUGCUGGGAUUAACUUCUCGGUAAGGAAUUCAUGACUUUUACUUUGAGGAAAUUAGAGUGUUCACGGCAAGCAAUCGCUUUGAAUACAUUAGCAUGGAAUAUAAUAUAGGA